rnacentral:rRNA from 1 species
UACGAAGGGGGCUAGCGUUGCUCGGAAUCACUGGGCGUAAAGCGCACGUAGGCGGAUCUUUAAGUCAGGGGUGAAAUCCCGAGGCUCAACCUCGGAACUGCCCUUGAUACUGGGGAUCUCGAGUCCGGAAGAGGUUGGUGGAACUCCGAGUGUAGAGGUGAAAUUCGUAGAUAUUCGGAAGAACACCAGUGGCGAAGGCG